rnacentral:lncRNA from 1 species
AGUUCCUCAUAAUAGAAAACCCAUCUAGAACACUUAUUUUCUUCCAGAUUUUGUCUGGGUUUGACAGGAAGAAAUAGGGCAAAAGCCAUUUGAGGUGGACAAAAUAGUAUAUAAAAAAUAAAGUUUGAUUUUUAUUAACACAAUGGUGAAAAGAGAGAACUUCCAGGUAGUUCCAUCUGUUUUUUUUAAAUUUAUUUUUUAUUUUUUAUUGCUUUUUGAGAUGGAGUUUCAUUCUUGUUGCCCAGGCUGGAGUGCAAU